UACGAGGGGGGCAAGCGUUGUUCGGAAUUAUUGGGCGUAAAGGGCGCGUAGGCGGUGCGGUAAGUCACCUGUGAAAACUCAGGGCUUAACCCUGAGCCUGCUUCCGAUACGGGCAGACUAGAGGUAUGCAGGGGAGAACGGAAUUCCUGGUGUAGCGGUGAAAUGCGUAGAGAUCUGGAGGAACACCGAUGGCGAAGGCAGCCUUCUGGGCCAACACUGACGCUCAUGCACGAAAGCGUGGGGAGCAAACAGG
rnacentral:rRNA from 1 species